AUUGAACGCUGGCGGCAUGCCUUACACAUGCAAGUCGAACGGCAGCACGGGAGCAAUCCUGGUGGCGAGUGGCGAACGGGUGAGUAAUAUAUCGGAACGUGCCCAGUAGUGGGGGAUAACUGCUCGAAAGAGCAGCUAAUACCGCAUACGACCUGAGGGUGAAAGGGGGGGAUCGCAAGACCUCUCGCUAUUGGAGCGGCCGAUAUCAGAUUAGCUAGUUGGUGGGGUAAAGGCCUACCAAGGCAACGAUCUGUAGUUGGUCUGAGUGGACGACCAGACACACUGGGACUGAGACACGGCCCAGACUCCUACGGGAGGCAGCAGUGGGGAAUUUUGGACAAUGGGCGCAAGCCUGAUCCAGCAAUGCCGCGUGCAGGAAGAAGGCCUUCGGGUUGUAGACUGCUUUUGUCAGGGAAGAAAUCCUCUAGGUUGAUACCUCGGGGUAAUGACGGUACCUGAAGAAUAAGCACCGGCUAACUACGUGCCAGCCGCCGCCGUAACAC
rnacentral:rRNA from 1 species